rnacentral:lncRNA from 1 species
AAUAAGGAGAUAGAAAAGUAAAAUCUAAUUCAAGCUAAAAGAGUAGUCAGUCCUCCAUAUCUGCAGGUUCAAACAAAGAUUGAAAACAUUUUUAAAAAAGGAAAAAAAAAAAACCCUUUGGAAAGUUUCAAAAAGCAAAACUUGAAUUUGCCAUACACCAGCAAGUAUUUACAUAGCACUUACAUUUGCAUUACGUUAUAUACUACAAAUGUGUACAUAUUAUAUACAUAUGUGCAUAUUAAAUAGAUAUUAAAAGCCUGGCAUGCUACAGUUCAUGGGGUCACAAACAGUCAGGUCAGACAUGACUUAGCGACUAAACAAUAACAUUAUAAGUAAUUUAGAGAUGAUUUACAGUAUAUGGGAGUAUGUGCAUAAGCUAGAUGCAAAUACUGUGCCAUUUUAUACAAAGGCCUUCUUAUCUGAGUGUAAAAGAACCAAUGCCCCACAGAUACCAAGGGUGACCAUACUUUGAGUCUAAUCAAGGAGUAGAUAAAUAAGCACAAAACACCACAUCAGGUACUACAAUGCAGAGAAACAGAGAAACAAAAAAACUCAUGAAACACAAUGGAAGGAACAAUUUUUGUGCAAGCUCAGUCAGUCAGUCAUAUCUGACUCUUUGUAACCCCAUGGACUAUAGCCCUUCAGUCUCCCCUGUCCAUGGGAUUUCCCAGGCAAGAAUACCGGAGUGGGCUGCCAUUUCCUUCUUAAAACAAUGUGACUGCCUGCCAGCUGAGUCCAGUACCACAUUAAGAAAAUAA